rnacentral:rRNA from 1 species
CCUACGGGGGGCUGCAGUGGGGAAUAUUGGACAAUGGGGGGAACCCUGAUCCCGCCAUGCCGCGUGUGUGAAGAAGGCCCUCGGGUUGUAAAGCACUUUCAGUGAGGAAGAACGCCUGGUGGUUAAUACCCAGCAGGAAAGACAUCACUCACAGAAGAAGCACCGGCUAACUCCGUGCCAGCAGCCGCGGUAAUACGGAGGGUGCGAGCGUUAAUCGGAAUUACUGGGCGUAACGCGCGCGUAGGUGGCUUGAUAAGCCGGUUGUGAAAGCCCCGGGCUCAACCUGGGAACGGCAUCCGGAACUGUCAAGCUAGAGUGCAGGAGAGGAAGGUAGAAUUCCCGGUGUAGCGGUGAAAUGCGUAGAGAUCGGGAGGAAUACCAGUGGCGAAGGCGGCCUUCUGGACUGACACUGACACUGAGGUGCGAAAGCGUGGGUAGCAAACAGGAUUAGAUACCCUUGUAGUC